UUCGCUUUAGCUACACGGUUAAUGGGAAUGUGUGUUUCUGGAGGUACUUCGCUUUCACUCACUGCUGGAUGCUAAAGACAGCCGUGAGGUCAGAUGUGCCGGCAGGGGAAGCGGUGCCUUGGCGCAGGAGGCAGGCCUGCGGCCGCUGUGGCAGCGGGAGCACAGCGCGGGGCCUCUGCCCAGGGCCCGGCCGGGCCCGAGCUGCUGCCCGCGGCACGAAGCCCUCCCGGGGACGGGGGCGCGAGGCCUGCGCCCCCCAAACACCUGGGUGCUGCGGGGAGGUGGCUUGGGCCUCUGCAGGAGCGUAGGGACGGUUGGCCGCUUUCUCAGGGCAGUAGAAGGCUGGGAAGUCCAGGAAAAAACUGCAAAUGCAUUCCUGAGACAAAUUUUUAUCAGUGCAGGAUUGAGCCCACUGAGUGAGGACUACGCGCUCAGCUUUGGCAGAAAACAACGCUUCUGUGCACCCUCCCUGCAAGGGCACCGAUUUUGGACUGGCAAGUGGUGCAACCAGAGGCCACAGGCUGCCCAGAGGGCCCUGGGCUUUGGCCAGGUCUGGCCUCAAGUUUCUACCACAGUGCCAGGAGUCGUAGCAACACCCGUGGGGCAGUAUUCUGGCAUGGAAUCACCGUUGGCUGUUUGGCAGGCAGUAGGAAGGUGUGAAAUGACUUAUGACUCAGAAAACGGACCUGCUCAUCGUGCAAACCUACAUAACAGCCACCUGUGUAGGGUGCAUUUCACUUUCCUUGGGGGUCUAUACGUAAAAUCUUAUUAUAAUGAAGCAGCAAAAGGACAGAGCAUGCUAUCUGCAAAAUUCUCUAAAUAUAGUUCAGCAAUAAUGCUGCUGCUUUCUGCAGAUUAAAAAAAUAUGGACCUUUCAAACCCAUAACACUAAUACAAUCAAAUACAAUCAUAAGCAACAUUAUUCACAGUGACUUGAUUAGUGAAAAACAAAGCAGAGUAUGCUAAUGAGAUCUCUAACAGCAUCUUUCUCUGUGUUUGGAUGUGACACUGUAUCUCUCUGAACACUUCUGUGCAUCUGUUUAUCUUUGCUGGACCUGUCAGUCUCAGUAAAACCAAACCUUCCUUCUGGUUCUCUCAAAAUGUGCUGGCUCCAGGAGGAUGAGUGUACCUUGGGGUUUCCCCUCUCCAGGUCUGCAGCAGUCUGUGCCCACCGCACCCUGGCAGCGCAGGGCUCCCCACUCCUCCUCUUAGAGAAACAAUUUUGCAUGGAUAAAGAUAAUCUUCUGUGUGCAGAGCUUGGCUUUUUGUACAUGAAAUAUGAGCACAAGAAUGCAAAGGCAAUUGGAAUAGUUUUGAGUUGUGAGUGGUGUGCACUGCUCUGAGCCUUCCCAGCUACAGAGAACUGCAACAAACAUGAGGAAAUUCAAGAAGGAUUUUCCCACUCAGAUCAUAGGUCAGGAGACAGCAUGAAAUUGUGGCCAUGGGUCCAGGUGAGAGGUGGCAGCCAGGCAGCACUUCCAUCCUCGCUUUGGAUUUGGCAUCUUUGUCUGAACUUCCUGCCAGCUUGCAGGGGCGCUUGUGAGGGUAAAGCGAGCUAAAGGCUGCAAGUCUGCAGGAGCAGGGCUCACCCAUGGCCAAGACAGAAAUGAUGCCCUGGGGCAAACCAGUGCCUGCAGGUCACCCCUGCCCUCCCUUCUGCAGCGCUGCGGGGCUGCACAGCACAGGCAGUUCUGCGCUAGAGCCAGGAGGUGAGGGGCGGCCAGGCACUGCAGCCGCAGCGCCCAGCUGAGAAGCAGCCCCCAGGCUUCCCACACAGCCACCGCUUGCAAGAGCCUGUGACUUCCAGCCCUCUCGUCUCCAGUGCUGGACGACACCUCUGGAGGCAGGAUGCAUUAUCA
rnacentral:lncRNA from 1 species